CGUAUUUAAACAUACGGCUUUCUUA
rnacentral:tRNA from 1 species